GAUGUCACGAAUUUUAUGAGACAAAUAAGAAACAAGACAUGUUGUGUUAGCUCUUACAAGCCUUGGAAAAGAUAAGUCUCUUCACCUUUAAGACAGCGGCAGUCCAGCCACCCGGACAGCUGCUGCAACAAACGCUUUAAAUAACCAAAGAUGUUCUGCAUGAACUGUCAGAACUCGUCUCAGGUCACCUUGAUUUAAACAUGAGUUUGGGUUGAGUUUAAUGAAGUGCCUUCACCAAAUUAGACUGUACACCCUCAUACUGUAAGUACACAACUCCUUUAUUUUGUCACUGUGUCCACUGAAAAGUUUGCAUUUCCAAAAAUCCCGAAAAACUAUAAAAUGUUUUUUUUAUUGUGAAAACAUCAAAUGUUGUGACUUGUCCAGGGAAAACGCUGUAGUCCUGUUUUUUUUAAAAUGUUAUCUGAAAGUCACAGGAAGUUAUUUUGGGGGGUGAAAUGAUCGACACAUUUUUGGGAUGUGUCAGUAAAAAAACAGUAAAAAAAAGUUUUUUUAUUGGACUAAACCAAAAAUAAUUUUCUUGCCCUUUCUUGUUAAAAUAAAUAAAUAAAUAAAAUACCGUAUACUUGAGAUAAUUUUAUCACCCUC